rnacentral:tRNA from 1 species
ACGCCGUCCGGCAGGCGGUCGGUGCCGUCCGUGAGUCGGACGCGGGAAUUCCCCGGGUUCUGUUCGUGGCGUUCGACGCACGGAUGGCGACCC